UACGUAGGGUGCGAGCGUUAAUCGGAAUUACUGGGCGUAAAGCGUGCGUAGACGGUAGCGUAAGUCGGGUGUGAAAGCCCCGGGCUCAACCUGGGAAUUGCAUUCGAGACUGCUCUGCUAGGGUGCGGAAGAGGGAAGCGGAAUUUCCGGUGUAGCGGUGAAAUGCGUAGAUAUCGGAAGGAACACCAGUGGCGAAAGCGGCUUCCUGGUCCAGCACCGACGUUCAGGCACGAAAGCGUGGGGAGCAAACAGG
rnacentral:rRNA from 1 species